GAUGAACGCUGGCGGCGUGCCUAAUACAUGCAAGUCGAGCGAACAGAUGAGGAGCUUGCUCCUCUGACGUUAGCGGCGGACGGGUGAGUAACACGUGGAUAACCUACCUAUAAGACUGGGAUAACUUCGGGAAACCGGAGCUAAUACCGGAUAAUAUAUUGAACCGCAUGGUUCAAUAGUGAAAGACGGUUUUGCUGUCACUUAUAGAUGGAUCCGCGCCGCAUUAGCUAGUUGGUAAGGUAACGGCUUACCAAGGCGACGAUGCGUAGCCGACCUGAGAGGGGAUCCGGCACCAUGGGAAUUAGACCACGGCCAGACCCCCACGGGAGGGAGGCGGAGGGGAUUUUCCCCAAUGGGGGAAAGCCCGAACGGGCAACCGCCGGGGAGGGAAGAAGGGUUUCGGAUCGUAAAACCCUUUUUUUAGGGAAAAAAAAAAUUGGAAAGAAACAUGCCCGUUUUUACGGUAACCAAUCAGAAAGCCCCCGGUAAAUUCGGG
rnacentral:rRNA from 1 species